CUUUUGUUGCAAUGCAUUAACUUGGUUCGCUCCAAAUUCAAAAGGGUAAUCCAGAUGUGGAUUCCGUGCUCACUGUGCCUAGAGGGAUAUGACGGGGCCCAAAGAAGUCCAAAACGAUCGUCCGGGGUUGUUGUAUCUCACGUGCAGAGAGAAAUUGGAGGCAUUUCGGUUCUAUACUACCUUUAUGGGCGGGAUUAGUCU